rnacentral:lncRNA from 1 species
GACAUUAACUCCAGGUAGAUAGCGUCAGAAUUGAAUUGAGUUGUAGGACUCCCAGCUGGUGUUAGAUAAUUGGUUGGUGUAGGAAAAAACCCCACGCAUUUGGUGUCAGAAGUGAAGUAUUGAGAGUAAUGAGAAGAAAAAACAAAGUGUUGACUUGAGUGCACUGCGUUUUUCUUGGCUCCUUUAAUACUAAGAUGAAGUGGGCAGAAGUGUUUAGAGUCCUGCCCUGGGAUUGCACAGUAAUCUGCUGGACAAUCUGAGAUUGAACUGGAAGAGCGCAGGAGAUUUAUCUGAGCCUCCUGCCUAUUUUUGAGGUGAUGAUAAAAGAUAUUUUUCCCAUCUUGGUUUUGGGAUGAGCAUCGCAAACAUCACUGUGAGCAUCCAUCAAACAGCCCUCAGUUUCUUAGGACCUGUUGAAAAGUCUUGGAUUGGGUUUGCUCAGUCCAUCAAAAUGGAGUUUAAAAGACCAAUAAGAAUCUCAUGGAGAGAAAGAUUAAGCAGCAGUACCGUUUUUACUAUCAAAGAAUGUUUUUGGAUGUGCUAAGAAGAUCCCCUGAAACAACAUCAUCAAUUAGAUGGACAAAUCUUUAGAUUAGGAACUAUAUCGUUGGAACACAAUCAACUCGUGCGCCCGUCACAGUUAUUAUACAAUGAACGGAAGAGUAACAACUUAGUCUGUGCCAAGUGCUUACGAUCAGUCAGGCCUAUUUAACAUGAAGCUCUUCCCCACCAUGUCCUGAUGCCUCCGUCCUCUGCACUUUACCACUGUGACCUUUCACACAAGGUCCAGGAUCACUGUCUCACUCAAUGCCUAACAUGCAUCUGGAGAAUAUAGUAAGUUUUCCUGCCCUUUCUGCUCCUCUUCCCUGGUAUUGCCUCCUCCUCACCUCGGAUGUGUCCUGCGGGGGAGAUAGCAAUAAGAAUAUUGCAU